ensembl:lncRNA
GUUUUUGAUUUUCUCCAAGCAGCAGUUCUUCUGUAUUGUUCUUCCCCCCCCCCCCCCACCCCUCCACCUCUCCCCAACCCUCCCCCCACAGACCCCCCACCCACCACCCAAAAAAACAAAAAAAACAAAAACAAAAAAAACACAGUUCAUUCAUUUUAAUACUAAGUUCUCCAUUUGUUCAAAUACUACUGUUCUUUUAAAAGUUAAUUCCUUUGAAUACUAGGUUAAUAAUUUGUUUCAUCUGCUAUUGUUCUUUUCUUUGGAAAAGUUUGUUCCUAUUAAUACUAAAUUCAUAAUUUGUUUUAUCUGCUACUGUUCUUUUUAUUGGAAAAAAGUUUAGUAGCUGUAUUUGUAAGUCGUUCUUUUUUCUUGUCAAUUAACUAACUUAUUUUUUUCUUGAGAAUACUUUGCAGGUUGUAUCGCUUCAGCAUUUUAUGAAGAUGCCUCGUAAAGGUAGGAGAUCCAGGGCUCAAAAAGUUCGCUGGACAAAGUUAGACCUGACAGGACAGACGAGCGUCAGUAAAGGUGAUGCUCGGGUUUCUGAUGGACAGCAGUACGAAGAUGGUGACAGCACAUCUAGAAUUAUAUCCGUGCAGGCGUCUCAUUGCCAGAGUGAUGCAAGGUAUGAUGUUUUCUCACGAAAUCAUCAGUGCACAUGUGUAGCUCUGACAUUCCUUGCGUACCACAGUGAGGGAACUUUGUUCGAACAGCCUGAUCUUGACAGAGUGCUAGAGGAAGGGGAUGCUUUGUAUGUCGGCAUUAAAAUGCAGCUUAUUGCUGAAGGAAGAUUCCGACAGGAUCUUCUAAGCAUGGGUGAAGUACCUGUGUGCAUUACAACUUCUAACCACAACUACAGUGUCCAAAAGUCAGAAGUUGUGAUGGGAUAUCUGAGAGACAGAGGAACUUCUGAAAUGGACACAUGGUGGAUUCCUCUUGAUGAAAGACUUCAGUGUCUCUCAACAGAUGUCAGCCAUGCACUGCUUAUUGUUUCUCCAGAGUGCUUUGCUGUGUUCAGAGACAGUUCUGGAAGAUAUGGAUUUUUUGAUUCACAUUCCAGAACUGCUGAAGGUUUGCCACAUCCUACUGGUGAUGGAACUGCAGUUAUGCUAACUUUCACCAACCUGCAUGACAUGACCAACAGACUACUUGAGCUUUUUUGGAAUCGUGGUCCUCAAACUUGCUAUGAAUUCAUGGCUGUUUCAUUUGAAAGGCAGCAACAGUCUGACAAACCAUGCUCCUCAUCAGCUUGUGUGUCACAAAAAACUUUAUCUCUCCCAAAACCAGCAAAUGUUGGCAUCAAAAUUCCUGAAAAUCUUGUCUUUGCAGAAGACAAAAUACAAGAUGUCACAAAGAUUAUUAAAAGAAGCAAACCACAAAGAAGAAAAGAAAUGCGCAAAAUUGCUGAUCAAAAGCAAUGUUUAGAGCUCAAGGAUAUGACUCAAAAUUUUUAUGUCCAACACAAAAAAUACAUGACCAAGAGGUACAACACCGAUGCUCUCUUCCAGACGAAGAAGAAAGAGUACAUGACCAAGAGGUACAACACCGAUGUUGUUUUUCAGAGAAAAAAGAAGGACUACAUGAUCAGGAGGUACAAGAUGGAUGAUCUUUACCAGAGGAAAAUGAAAGACUACAUGGCCAGAAGAUAUGCAAGUGAUUCAGAGUUUAGGUCACACCACAUUCUGCUUUGUACUCUCCUCAAGAAACAGAAGUCUCUCACAGAUGCUGGAUUUCACAUUCUUUUUAAGUUGCGAAAUGCAUUAAAGAUCAAAAGAAAAUACAAGACAUACAUUAGUUUCAGCCAGGACACACCCAAUUCUGAUGCGACAAACCAGCCUGUGUCUAACAGCAUAAUGCAAAAGGCCAUAUCUGCAUUUCGGUGUCAAAUUCUACAUGGUCCAACUUACAUCUGCACAGUCUGUCACAGGACUCUGUUUCCAAAUCCUGUUUCUUGCUUAACCGGGAAAUAUGUUCAUGCUUGUGACAGUGCCUGCUCAGAUUCUUGUCCAGUACCAGAAGAGAGAAGACAGGAGUGGAUCUGCCACACUUGUGACAGUCAUCUGAAGAGAGGAUCCAUGCCUUCUAUUGCAGUGGCAAACAGACUUGAAUUGCCUCCAAUCCCUGCAGAACUGCUUGAAUUAAAUGUACUUGAACGACAGCUUAUCGCCAAAAUUGUUCCUUUUGCAAAAAUAGUUGCAUUGCCCAAAGGACAGCAACGAUCAGUGUAUGGUGCUGUUGUGUGUGUGCCCUCUGAGGUGAAGAAAACAGUCAACUGUCUGCCAAGGCCUAACAGUGAGUCCCAGCUACUACAGGUGAAGCUGAAAAGACACAUCAAGUUCCGAGGAUACCAACACUUCCAUACAGUGAAUAUGCACAAUGUGCUAGCAGCGUUAGAAAAACUGAAAGCGAUGCAUUCAGAAUACAGAGACAUCUUGAUAAGUGACGCUGCCACAUUUGAAUUUCUCCCUGAU